GCAGACUGGCCUCGCAUGGACCUGGAGGGGGAGGAGCCCCUCACUGAGCCCUGGUGGGAGGAGCCAGGCUGCGCUCACCCCUCCCACCAGAAGUCUGUGGGCAGGACAGGAAGUAGAAAAGGCAGGUCUGGGAGCUCAGUUGGGUUGCAGCUGCUGGAGGAGCCAGACAUCAUCUGCUUGCUCCUGAGCUGGGAGACUGCUGCAGGCUCCAGGGGGGCUGAGGACUGGCCAGAGCCACCGGAGCCGUAUGCUGACCCGACCUUGGAGGAGUUGCCAGGGCUACCACAGGCCUUCUACCCGGGCCAUCUGGACAACUCUCUGCAGACCCAGCAAUAAAGGUGCCUCAGGCUGUCUGAUCCAAAACCAACCGUGUGGUCAAUUUUCCAUAACAAUUUGGUGCCGUGAUUCGGAUUCCAUGGAUGACUACCCUGGACCGAAGGACUGUGGACAGUUUCCUCCCACACCGCAGGCUCGUCUGAGAGGUCCAAGGCACCUUGCCCAACCUGGCAGAGACUGUGUGCCAUCCUUUACAGCCUGGAGAAUGGAUUUAUCUCAAGGUUCCCCAGCGCAAGUCUUCCCUGGAACCCAGGUGGAAGGGCCCAUAUCAGGUUUUGUCAACCACCCAUACUACGGUGAAGUACCAAGGGCUCACCAGUUGGGUCCACGCUUAUCACUGUAAAAAGAUUUCACCACCUUUGGACCCCACCAGUACACCCUGCAGCCCCGCGAAUCAGGCCCUAGGUGUUAAAGAGAUUCUUCAUCCAUCUGAGCCCUCCGCAACACCUAACACACCAAAAAAGAAACUAAAAUAUAAUCUCAGAACCAGAGAAAAAACUAAAGGGAAAGGGUUGUAGGACUACUGUUAAACUGUUCUUGCUGUGACUGGUCCAAAAUCCACCAUGGCACGAAGGUGGUUGAUGCUCUCCCUUUGUUUUAUUUGUGUAACCAUGCUUCUUUUGUUACUUCUAAACUUUCACGAUUCCUUUCAGUAUUUCUGGAUGCCUGGAAGGACUGGUACUCCCGUAAUACCACUCCAUCCUACACCUGAGAACCACCCUAAAGUGCCCCUAGACCUCCCACUAUGUGGAACAAGACCAUUCUCAGCCCCGAAAGGAAAAAACUGUGCGAUCAGCGGUGGAGCAACAGGGGAGGACGUCCCUGACUGUUAAGGAUGUUAAAGGUUGGCUGUGGUAUAAAAGAUGAAACAUUGUUUCCUGGCAAGGAGGGACUUGUGGGGUGUACUCCUAGGAAUGUGGGACAAACUAGGUUUUGGGUUUCAUUUCCCAAGCAGCUCCUGUCGUAUGGCCAGGUACCAUAUCCGUGUCAAGUGCUCCCUGAAUUAUUAGAUAAACCUAGCCCCUCUCCUCCGACUACUCCCCUGCCCCCGCCCCAUCAUUCCCAUGCCCCGGUCCCGACCCAAAAGGACAUCCCCAACCAGCACUACUGUGCCUCAGCCACAUUCCAAUUUUAGCAUGGGCAUUACCUCGAACAUUAUACAAUGGCCCAGGCCAUUCCCUUCUGGCGAUCUGUUUUUUUUUUAUUACUCGACUAAGUUAUUUUUUUCAGUCCAAGGCCUCAUUUAUAAACGGGUGGUCGAAUGGGAAACUUUUGAAGCCGUGUAUAUCAGCUUUGUAAACAUAGCUACUGACCCCCAUGAUCGACCCGUUAAGACCCUUUAUUUUGUACAUAAUUGGCAAAAAGAUGUAAAUUCAAUGCUAAUCCCUGGCCUGUGUUCCAUCCUUAAUGAACGAGGUCCCUUUUGUUUCUUAAUUACCCAAGUAACCAAAUUUGCCGUAAAUACCCGAAGAUUCUGCCCUUCUACAGUGUCCUUCGGCUGUAAAGAAACCCUUCCCCUGACUAAAAAUAUAACCUGCACCCUAAUUCAAUAUACCCCUGCAUGUACAACCAAUAUAACUGCAUCCAAACCGGGCAUUCAAGUGCUCAGACAGCAGUUAUGGUACGAAGUUACAAGUAAAGGGGAUUCUGCAGGGUUUAAAUGGACCAUACUUACUGCUACUUUGGGAACUAUUAGGUUUUCCUUACCCUUAACUCACUUCCAAAUUGCUGCUACCUACUCUAAUUGUUCCCAAGGAGCUGCCCUCAGGUUACUACAGCAACAGGUUUGGAGCCACUCCUCUCGAAAGAAAAGAGGUAUCACAGAUACCCUGUGGAAAGGGGCUAACAGUGCUACCUCUGCUUGAAAUAUCUAUCAGGCCCAACAGAAUGACAGUAGAUUAGAACAGUUAGAAAGGGCUGCAGGACUUAUUUCUGGGGCACAGGUAACUGGGGUCCGGGCUGGGGUAGGUAAAUUACAUGUGAUCUCCACCCUUAGUAUCUUUACCCAGGAUUUGCUCAAACAGAUAAUUAUUUGCGCUACAGAGGCUGGGAAGGCAUUGCAGUGGGACCAUGCUUGCUCCAAGGUACAGGAUUUCCUUAAUGUUCAGCUAGCCUCCAUUCAAGAAGACCUCAAGCACCAAACCUGGCCCACUGCCCUCACAAUGCCUUGGGCGUGCCACAUAAUUUAUGGUUAUGGAGACACACUUGGAAGAUUUCAGGGUGGAAUUGCUGGCGCUCACAGUGUUCCUUCCAGGCUUAUGGCCCUAUGAAAGGAGUGUGGGCCCCCACAUACCGAAACCUCCCUGGCCCUUGGGGAGGUUGUAUGUGGGACUGGGUGAUCCACCGGAAUGUAUGGGAAAUAAAACCACCCCGCAGCCCUAACCGAUUCCUUAUUGGUGCCACGGAAAUAACACCUGAUCUUUCGAUAGGGCUCGGUAACCUGUAAACCUUUUGGCCUUUAGAACCUCCUCAGCUCCAGUGCAUUAGGAAGCUCAACCCUGGGGAAAUUGUUACUGUUCAUGAACACAUUUGUUGGGAAGGUAAUGGACACAUAACAACCAUUGCUUCCCAGCCUCUUAUCCAGGCCAACAAUAGCUGUGUUCAUGUUAACUCAUCUGUUUUACGAGAUGUGGCCUUUAAUCUGAACACGAUCACAGGCACUCAUGUUAUUUAUUGGCCUGCGGACAAAACGUACCAGGCUUCCCUAUCGUUCCAUAUCCCUUCCAAUUGGACCGCUCUGGUACCCGAUUGUUUCCAUUCCUUGGUGUCCCUCCUCCCGGAGGUCCGGCAAAUUUCCCAAUUGUAAAAACAAGUCCAUCUUCUCGAAAACAUGCACCAAACCGAACUUAAUGCCUUCCAAACGGCCCAUAGAGUUACAACUCUCUCUGUUAAAACAGAUUUUCUAUGUUCUAUUACUAAAGCCCUCUAACCCUCCCCAUACCCAUCAGUACAUACUAUGGGGCUUGUUGGGGGGAAGGGUUACUAGGGUUAUUAUUAAAUAUUUGCUUUUGCUAUUGUUGCUGCAAAACAUGUUGUUCCCACCCUGCACCUGCUUUGUAUAUCCAAUCCCAUCAGGUGGCCCUUGUCCCCUUCAAAGAAUUAGAGCCUUAUCAGCCCAAUUCCCCGACAUAUAAAUUCGCGGAAUCACCCUAUAAAAAUAAAUUCGCAAACUCUGAGAUCAGGAAUUUAAUAAACAUUCAAAUCUAGGGAGUUGAUGCUGAAAAAUGCCAUCAAAAGGAGGGAAUGAUAGGGAAAAUAGCCCCCCCCACUUGUCGAUUCAGAGUUUCAGAAUAAGAAUAACCUAUACCCCCUUGACCUUUCAGGCCCAAAGCCUUUAGCUCAAAACUAUGCUAAAUAAAAGCAAGAGUUACAAACUUCUGAUAAAAUUGUUUAUCAGCAUACUGAGCACUGGGGCAUGAAGAAACUGGGUUGUGAAGAAACUAGAUAUGAAGAAAUGGGAUAUGACACACUGACAAAAGAGGAACUGGGAGGAGGACAGGAGGUCUCUUGGGGGCCAGCUCAGCUUUAGGCAAGUAUAGUAUGGCAAAUAUUGCUUACUUAGGUAACUGCAAGGAGGGGUCACAGAAUGACCAGCGCAAUCACUGCCAGAACACAUGAAACAUGUUGAAAUAGCUUGCUGAUUUGCAACAUUUUAUGUCAGUUACAGUAAAAUAUUAAUCUUAAUUUGCAGUGUUACCCAUAUUUGGGUUAAUAUUGCUAUGCUUAUAUGUAAUGUUUGCGGUUUUAACCUUUAUAAGCUUGGUGAAAAUUGUAAAGGGCAGAGCAGCCUACCUCUUGCAUGGGGUUACGCUGUCUCUCCCUGUAUGCAUACUUGUAACCUUGUAGUCUUGUUAUAGCAAUAAAGGUGCCUCAGGCUGUCUGAUCCAAAACCAACCAUGUGGUCAAUUUUCCACAAUCCCAUGUGCUUGGGGCACUGUCUCUGCAAUGCUCUCAUUCCUUGCUGAUCUGGGUGCAAGUGAUCAAUUAUACCUCUAUAUGCAGACUCUCUCUCAUGCCACUUGGUGCAGAAGGGUGGUGGUUAUGGCUCCCUAAUUCCCAAGGUGCAUCUGUGCCAGCCCCAAUGAGCCAUACACCAACUGAGAGUUGGCACAGCAUAGUUAUACUCCAACACUGCCUCUUCCUUCCUUUGCAGAGCUGUUGUAGCCGUGUUGGUCCCAGGAUAUCAGAGACAAGAUGGGCAAGGUAAUAUCUUUUAUUGGACCAAUUAUUGUUGCUGAAAGAGACAAGCUUUGAGCUACACAGAUGUGAAGAAGAGCUUGUAUGAGCUUGAAACUCUGUUUCUUUCACCAACAGAAGUUGGUCCAAUAAAAGAUGUUCUCACCAUCCUUCCUUUGACACCAUGGUAGUUGGUGGCAUAGUUAGUAUAGUAGUUAGAUCUGCUGGCUUUACACCAGCUAGGAUCUCUCCCAUGCUGGAGGAAUUCUCAGCUGGCUAGAACUAGUUACUUUCCAGCCACUUUGCACUACUCAGAAACUCAGAUCUAGUGCAUGUUUAGCAAAAAAGUGCUUCCUCAGACACAAACUUGUUUUUUACUGUCAAUGUACAUGUGUGUUAUUAAUAAAUCUUAAUAGUUCAUUUAUUUGA